ACGCUCGACACCUACGGGAGCAGCAGUGGGGAAUAUUGCACAAUGGGGGAAACCCUGAUGCAGCGACGCCGCGUGGAGGAAGAAGGUCUUCGGAUUGUAAACUCCUGUUGUUGGGGAAAAAGAGGAUGGUACCCAACAAGGAAGUGACGGCUAACUACGUGCAGCAGCCGCGGUAAUCUGAGGCGGGCUGGACAAGGC
rnacentral:rRNA from 1 species